rnacentral:rRNA from 1 species
CAACAGGGAUUGCCCUAGUAACGGCGAGUGAAGCGGCAACAGCUCAAAUUUGAAAUCUGGCUCUCGGGCCCGAGUUGUAAUUUGUAGAGGAUGUUUUUGAUGCGGUGCCUUCCGAGUUCCCUGGAACGGGACGCCAUAGAGGGUGAGAGCCCCGUCUGGUUGGAUGCCAAAUCUCUGUAAAACUCCUUCAACGAGUCGAGUAGUUUGGGAAUGCUGCUCUAAAUGGGAGGUAUAUGUCUUCUAAAGCUAAAUACCGGCCAGAGACCGAUAGCGCACAAGUAGAGUGAUCGAAAGAUGAAAAGCACUUUGAAAAGAGAGUUAAAAAGUACGUGAAAUUGUUGAAAGGGAAGCGUUUAUGACCAGACUUGGGCUUGGUUAAUCAUCUGGGGUUCUCCCCAGUGCACUUUUCCAGCUCAGGCCAGCAUCAGUUUUCCCCGGGGGAUAAAGACUUUGGGAAUGUGGCUCUCCUCGGAGAGUGUUAUAGCCCAUUGUGUAAUACCCUGGGGGGGACUGAGGUUCGCGCAUCUGCAAGGAUGCUGGCGUAAUGGUCAUCAAUGACCCGUCUUGAAACACGGACCAAGGAGUCGUCUUCGUAUGCGAGUGUUCGGGUGUCAAACCCCUACGCGUAAUGAAAGUGAACGCAGGUGAGAGCUUCGGCGCAUCAUCGACCGAUCCUGAUGUUCUCGGAUGGAUUUGAGUAAGAGCAUACGGGGCCGGACCCGAAAGAAGGUGAACUAUGCCUGUAUAGGGUGAAGCCAGAGGAAACUCUGGUGGAGGCUCGCAGCGGUUCUGACGUGCAAAUCGAUCGUCAAAUAUGGGCAUGGGGGCGAAAGACUAAUCGAAC